rnacentral:rRNA from 1 species
AGGAUUCCCCUAGUAACGGCGAGUGAAGCGGGAACAGCUCAGCUUUAAAAUCUGGCUCUUUCAGAGUCCGAGUUGUAGCCUUGAGGGCAUCGUCCGCGCCGGACCUUGGAUAUGUCGGCUGGAAGCCGCGUCAAAGAGGGUGACAAUCCCGUCUGUACCAAGGACGACCGUGUGCAUUGUGGCGUGCCACCAAAGAGUCGAGUUGUUUGGGAAUGCAGCUCCAAUCGGGUGGUAAAUUCCAUCUAAAGCUAAAUAUUGGCGGAAGACCGAUAGCGAACAAGUACCGUGAGGGAAAGAUGAAAAGCACUUUGGAAAGAGAAUGAAACAGUAUGUGAAAUUGCUGGAAGGGAAACGAUUGAGGUUAGACUUGCUGGGGCGGCACUCAGCUCUCACGAGUGUAUUUGCCGUCCAUUGGCAGGCCAGCAUCGGUUUGAUGUCGGGUAGAAGGGUGCAUGGAACGUGGCUGCCUCGGCAGUGUUAUAGACGUGCACUGGAUGCCGCGACCGCAGACCGAGGAACGCAGGGCGCCGCAAGGCAGUGCCUCUUGGUACAGAGCCCUUAGGAUGCUGGUAGAAUAGCCUU